AGCUAUCCUCACAUGGUGGAUUGUGGUUUUUAGGUUGAGUUUUCUCCCUUUGAUAACAAAAGACCUUAAGGCUUUUGACCAAUCAAUUCACCAACUUCUUUUGAGAUUUUUUACCGCGAACUAUGAGGUUUUGAUCCUACCUUUGUGAUGGUACGUAGGCAAUAGGUUUAUCCAUUCAAACAAAAUUGUAAAUAACUUGUAUAUUCUUUUC
rnacentral:lncRNA from 1 species